rnacentral:rRNA from 1 species
AUAAAGGUCCUGGGAACGUAGCUCCUCCGGGAGUGUUAUAGCCCAGGGCGUCAUGCCCUCGCGGGGACCGAGGUUCGCGCAUCUGCAAGGAUGCUGGCGUAAUGGUCAUCAGCGACCCGUCUUGAAACACGGACCAAGGAGUCAAGGUUUUGCGCGAGUGUUUGGGUGUAAAACCCGCACGCGUAAUGAAAGUGAACGUAGGUGAGAGCUUCGGCGCAUCAUCGACCGAUCCUGAUGUUUUCGGAUGGAUUUGAGUAGGAGCGUUAAGCCUUGGACCCGAAAGAUGGUGAACUAUGCUUGGAUAGGGUGAAGCCAGAGGAAACUCUGGUGGAGGCUCGCAGCGGUUCUGACGUGCAAAUCGAUCGUCAAAUCUGAGCAUGGGGGCGAAAGACUAAUCGAACCAUCUAGUAGCUGGUUACCGCCGAAGUUUCCCUCAGGAUAGCAGUGUUGUUCUUCAGUUUUAUGAGGUAAAGCGAAUGAUUAGGGACUCGGGGGCGCUUUUUAGCCUUCAUCCAUUCUCAAACUUUAAAUAUGUAAGAAGCCCUUGUUACUUAAUUGAACGUGGGCAUUCGAAUGUACCAACACUAGUGGGCCAUUUUUGGUAAGCAGAACUGGCGAUGCGGGAUGAACCGAACGCGGGGUUAAGGUGCCGGAGUGGACGCUCAUCAGACACCACAAAAGGCGUUAGUACAUCUUGACAGCAGGACGGUGGCCAUGGAAGUCGGAAUCCGCUAAGGACUGUGUAACAACUCACCUGCCGAAUGUACUAGCCCUGAAAAUGGAUGGCGCUCAAGCGUCCCACCCAUACCCCGCCCUCAGGGUAGAAACGAUGCCCUGAGGAGUAGGCGGCCGUGGAGGUCAGUGACGAAGCCUAGGGCGUAUCCACGUCGACGCCUCCCU